GACUCCGUGGUGAAGUUCAUAGUGAGUUGCAAGCUCAUUGAUGCGCAUUAGCACUGCGCCGGGGUCU
rnacentral:tRNA from 1 species